AACGAACGCUGGCGGCAUGCCUAACACAUGCAAGUCGAACGAGACCUUCGGGUCUAGUGGCGCACGGGUGCGUAACGCGUGGGAACCUGCCCUUAGGUUCGGAAUAACUCCCCGAAAGGGGUGCUAAUACCGGAUAAUGUCUUCGGACCAAAGAUUUAUCGCCUUUGGAUGGGCCCGCGUUGGAUUAGCUAGUUGGUAGGGUAAAAGCCUACCAAGGCGACGAUCCAUAGCUGGUCUGAGAGGAUGAUCAGCCACACUGGGACUGAGACACGGCCCAGACUCCUACGGGAGGCAGCAGUGGGUAAUAUUGGACUAUGGGCGAAAGCCUGAUCCAGCAAUGCCGCGUGAGUGAUGAAGGCCUUAGGGUUGUAAAGCUCUUUUACCCGGGAUGAUAAUGACAGUACCGGGAGAAUAAGCUCCGGCCAACUCCGUG
rnacentral:rRNA from 1 species